rnacentral:rRNA from 1 species
UGGGGAAUUUUGGACAAUGGGCGAAAGCCUGAUCCAGCCAUGCCGCGUGAGUGAAGAAGGCCUUCGGGUUGUAAAGCUCUUUUAGUCGGGAAGAAAGAGUUGCAAUGAGUAAUUGUGAUUUCUGACGGUACCGACAGAAAAAGCACCGGCUAACUAAGUGCCAGCAGCCGCGGUAAUACGUAGGGUGCGAGAGUUAAUCGGAAUUACUGGGCGUAAAGGGUGCGCAGGCGGUCUUGCAAGUCAGAUGUGAAAGCCCCGGGCUUAACCUGGGAAUUGCGUUGGAAACUACAAGACUAGAGUGCAGCAGAGGGGAGUGGAAUUCCAUGUGUAGCAGUGAAAUGCGUAGAGAUGUGGAAGAACACCGAUGGCGAAGGCAGCUCCCUGGGUUGACACUGACGCUCAUGCACGAAAGCGUGGGGAGCAAACA